AGUUCGCCGCCGCCGUUCAUUGGCAGGCAGCGCCGCUUUCAUCAUUUCUCGGAAAAGUCAAUUUCAUUUUCACUUCCCCACGUCGCGGCUGCCCGGAGCAACAAGCGGCAGCGCGUGAGUCUGCUGCUUCAGCAGAGGGGCUCUCAGGACGCCUGGACGCGGGAGAGGGGGUUCCGAGGGUGAUGGGCGCUGGCUGGGGCUGGAGGUCCUGAGGAGGGCGGUACCUGACUGCAUCUUACCUGAUGGUGGUGCCUGGGAAGCCAAGGGACUCCUCCCGACCUGCGGGUCGUUAAGUGUGGAGAACUGCUAUGCCCAGAGCGAAUAUACAGACUCAUCUUGGAAAGCCGCCCGCUGCAAAGGAAUGUAAGGAAGAAAAUCGACCGUAAAGAGGCAUUACUCGCCGCCCUACUUCAUCCGUGGUUUGAGGGACCAGCCUGGCACUGUGUGGAGGCUAGGACGAUAAGAAAGGCCUUCCCCCUAUUUCAUCAGCCUUCUACCAACCUUCUCUAACCACCAGAGAAAAUUCUGUCCGGAGAGACG